rnacentral:lncRNA from 1 species
UAAACUGUUUUUAUUGAUAAUGAAGUUUAUUGCUUCUCCAAUAACACAAAGUUCAUACACAAUGUAAGUUCUAAAUAUUAUUAAAAGUGCAUCUUUUAUUUUUCAACAAUCACAGAGAUACAACAUAAAUUAUGAUGAUUGAAAACAACAACACUUAUGAUAUCCAAGUCGAAAAACACAUUGUCCACCUUUUUGAUAUCCUAUUUUGAUGCACUCUGUAGAACAAUUUGGAAAACAUCUACCUAUGCAACAAACUCCUCGUACUUCGUCACUCCCAAAAAGACACAUUACACUUUUGUCUAAUGUAACACUUUCUGAAUCAAACAAAGAAUACAAUAUUCAUUUUAU